rnacentral:rRNA from 1 species
UACGGAGGAGGCAAGCGUUAUCCGGAAUUAUUGGGCGUAAAGCGUCCGCAGGGGGCACCUCAAGUCUGCUGUCAAAGACCGGGGCUUAACCCCAGAAAGGCAGUGGAAACUGAAGUGCUAGAGUGCAGUAGGGGUAGAGGGAAUUCCCGGUGUAGCGGUGAAAUGCGUAGAGAUCGGGAAGAACACCCGUGGCUAAGGCGGCUCUCUAGUACGGUACUGACGCUGAGACGCGAAAGCGUGGGGAGCGAACAGG